CCUACGGGAGGCAGCAGUGGGGAAUAUUGGACAAUGGGCGAAAGCCUGAUCCAGCCAUGCCGCGUGUGUGAAGAAGGUCUUCGGAUUGUAAAGCACUUUAAGUUGGGAGGAAGGGCAGUUACCUAAUACGUGACUGUCUUGACGUUACCGACAGAAUAAGCACCGGCUAACUCUGUGCCAGCAGCCGCGGUAAUACAGAGGGUGCAAGCGUUAAUCGGAAUUACUGGGCGUAAAGCGCGCGUAGGUGGUUUGUUAAGUUGAAUGUGAAAUCCCCGGGGCUCAACCUGGGAACUGCAUCCAAAACUGGCAAGCUAGAGUAUGGUAGAGGGUAGUGGAAUUUCCUGUGUAGCGGUGAAAUGCGUAGAUAUAGGAAGGAACACCAGUGGCGAAGGCGACUACCUGGACUGAUACUGACACUGAGGUGCGAAAGCGUGGGGAGCAAACAGGAUUAGAUACCCCUGGUAGUCCACGCCGUAACGAUNUCACUAGCGUGGUAGUNUNACUCUAGUGNGNNCACGCAUAGUUAGACCGCCGUGGGNGGUAACGGUCCGCGAGUUAAACGUACGAAUUAGAGUUGCGGCGNGAGACGNGCGACGGACGACGACGAGGGAGGAGG
rnacentral:rRNA from 1 species